ACUCCUACGGGAGGCAGCAGUGGGGAAUUUUGGACAAUGGGCGAAAGCCUGAUCCAGCAAUGCCGCGUGUGUGAAGAAGGCCUUCGGGUUGUAAAGCACUUUUGUCCGGAAAGAAAUCCGCCUGGCCAAUACCCGGGCGGGAUGACGGUACCGGAAGAAUAAGCACCGGCUAACUACGUGCCAGCAGCCGCGGUAAUACGUAGGGUGCGAGCGUUAAUCGGAAUUACUGGGCGUAAAGCGUGCGCAGGCGGUUAUGCAAGACAGGUGUGAAAUCCCCGGGCUCAACCUGGGAACUGCACUUGUGACUGCAUGACUAGAGUGCGUCAGAGGGAGGUGGAAUUCCGCGUGUAGCAGUGAAAUGCGUAGAGAUGCGGAGGAACACCGAUGGCGAAGGCAGCCUCCUGGGAUGACACUGACGCUCAUGCACGAAAGCGUGGGGAGCGAACAGGAUUAGAUACCCUGGUAGUC
rnacentral:rRNA from 1 species